UUCCUGCGGAAAAUUGAUGUGUUAAAUAGCGUCUGGUAAGUUUAAAGGUACUUGCUAGCUAUGCGCAUUCAAACAGCUCAAAUUUCUGGAUUAGGGAAUUGACAUUGUAUAUGCCCGUCACUUAGGCAAUAAAUACUAUCGGAAAUUCCAGCAAAUUCGAGUGCUCGAUCGUGAAAUGUAAUCUACGUUAGGUAAAACAAUAUUUACUAAUGGCAGUUCGUCAGGUGGUCGAUCGAGAUAGAGAAAGUUCUGGUGCCCCCUGUUGAGAUCCUAGAGCGCCGCCACUGGCAUCAAGAAGAUCUUCAACCACAUGGUUGAGUUUACUGAACACAGACACGUUCUGCAGCGUCGUUAUCUAACCAAUUUACUUUCCGAUUCUAUGAAGUGA